CCGACAAAGCAAAACUUGGCAGCAGAUCCCUUCGUUUGCUACCGGUGUCAAAGAGACAAGAAAUCACCAAAGAAUUUCAGUGCUGGCAAUGACAUGGACCCAGGUACUGUUCCAGAGCAAUUGAGAGGUUUGACACAGGUAGAGGAAAUGCUGAUUUCAAGGGUUUGCCCCAUCAUGCAAGUCUACAGAAAACAUGGUGGGCAAAGGGGCUACAAAGGUCAUGUGCUAAACUUACCACAGGAUAUUCAAAGUUUUUUGAAUAGGUUGCCUGCACAAGUGGCUGACUUGCCUGUUAUGAUUGUGCGAAGGCAGGGUGCUGAUGAAACACAUAAAGAUUUUACAGUUCGUCGACACAGGGUGUUUGAAGCUAUAUUGUGGUUGAAAACAAACAAUCCAUUUUUCAAAGAUAUUGAGAUUGACAGGGAUAUUAUCCAAAGUCUACCUGAAAAUGGUGUCCCUGAAGAGCUAAGGUAUAUUAUUGAUGACAAUGAACUUCCAGUUCAUGUUGAAAAUGAGGGCCCCCCACAAGAACCUGUAAUGAGUGCUAAUGCAACAGUUGAAGAAUUAGUUUUAGGAAAUGGCAGUACAUCAUUUAUUCCUAUGCGGCAAAGACAAAGAAAGGAUGGUGCAGCUAUUCAAGAUGCAGUGAAUGAGGUUGACCCUUUAGACUGGCCCUCAACUGAAGGUAAUGCUGUUAAUGAGUUUAAAACAGAUGGUUUGGCAAGCAUGGCAUUUCCAACACUAUUUCCCCAUGGGAAAGGUGACCCAACAAACAGAGUCAGGCAGCAUGAGGAAAGUUUGGCAGAGGCAUUCAAACACCUGAUGAAGUUUGCAGAGAGGCUGCCAAAUGUGGCCAGACUUGCAAAGACUAUUGCAAAGUAACGAGGGGGCAUCAAGAACAGAAAGAGCACAAGCAGUGAUAGACAAUCCACACCUGACAGAUUGGUUUUUCAUGCAAAGGCUACAGAAGUUCAUCAAACAUUGGCUUGAAGGUGUCUUGGAUGCUGAAUGGUUUUGGUAUAGGUUUGAAUACCAGGCCAGAGGAAGUAUACAUGCUCAUGGAUGUGCUAAAUUAAAGAAUGAUCCAGAUAUUCGAUUAUUACGUAAACGUGCAUGCCAAGCAGUGCUUGAGAAAGAGAAAGAAAAUGAAAUGUCCCCUGACGAUUUUGAAUUCUCUUGCCAGGAAAUUGUCAGAGAGGGUGAAGAUGCGGAGAGAAAGCUAAUUAGUUACGUUGACUGGCUUGUGACCACAGUUAAUGAUGAUCUGCCUGAUGAGAACUGGACACUACCAGAUCCACACCCUUCUGCUGUGAAAGCAACAUCAGUUGAUAAUCAUGAUGUUGAUUAUCACAG